rnacentral:rRNA from 1 species
AGUGAACGCUGGCGGUAGGCCUAACACAUGCAAGUCGAACGGCAGCACAGUAAGAGCUUGCUCUUACGGGUGGCGAGUGGCGGACGGGUGAGGAAUACAUCGGAAUCUACUUUUUCGUGGGGGAUAACGUAGGGAAACUUACGCUAAUACCGCAUACGACCUACGGGUGAAAGCAGGGGAUCUUCGGACCUUGCGCGAUUGAAUGAGCCGAUGUCGGAUUAGCUAGUUGGCGGGGUAAAGGCCCACCAAGGCGACGAUCCGUAGCUGGUCUGAGAGGAUGAUAGGCCACACUGGAACUGGGACACGGUCCAGACUCCUACGGGAGGCAGCAGGGGGAAAUAUUGGACAAUGGGCGCAAGCCUGAUCAAGCAAGACCGCGGGGGUGAAGAAGGCCUUGGGGUUGUAAAGCCCUUUUGUUGGGAAAGAAAGGCAGCAGGUUAAUACCCCGCUGUUCGGAGGUUACCAAAAGAAUAAGCACCGGCUAACUUCGG